rnacentral:rRNA from 1 species
GAGGAAUAUUGGUCAAUGGUCGCAAGACUGAACCAGCCAUGCCGCGUGCAGGAAGACGGUCCUAUGGAUUGUAAACUGCUUUUAUACAGGAAGAAACCCUCCCACGUGUAGGAGCUUGACGGUACUGUAGGAAUAAGGAUCGGCUAACUCCGUGCCAGCAGCCGCGGUAAUACGGAGGAUCCAAGCGUUAUCCGGAAUCAUUGGGUUUAAAGGGUCCGUAGGCGGUCUUAUAAGUCAGUGGUGAAAGCCCAUCGCUCAACGAUGGAACUGCCAUUGAUACUGUAAGACUUGAAUGCUUAGGAAGUAACUAGAAUAUGUAGUGUAGCGGUGAAAUGCCUAGAUAUUACAUGGAAUACCAAUUGCGAAGGCAGGUUACUACUAAGUGAUUGACGCUGAUGGACGAAAGCGUGGGGAGCGAAC